AUCAGGAUGGCCAAGUGGUCUAAGGUACCAGACUCAAGCCCAGCUUCCUCUGCAUUGAGGAUUUUGGUCUCCAAAUGGAGGCGUGGGUUUGAACCCCACUUCUGACA
rnacentral:tRNA from 1 species